rnacentral:rRNA from 1 species
GAUUAACGCUGGCGGCGUGCAUAACACAUGCAAGUCGAACGAUGAAACUUUAAUGAACCCUUCGGGGAGAAUUAAAGCGGAUUAGUGGCGAACGGGUGAGUAACGCGUGAGUAACCUGCCUUACACAAGGGGAUAGCCUUUGGAAACGAAGAAUAAUACCCUAUAAAACCAUACAAGCACAUGCAAUUAUGGUCAAAGUGAUAGCGGUGUAAGAUGGACUUGCGUCUGAUUAGCUAGUUGGUGAGAUAAAAGCACACCAAGGCAACGAUCAGUAGCCGGCUUGAGAGAGUGUACGGCCACAUUGGGACUGAGACACGGCCCAGACUCCUACGGGAGGCAGCAGUGGGGAAUUUUGCACAAUGGGGGAGACCCUGAUGCAGCGACGCCGCGUGAUUUAGAAGGCCUUCGGGUUGUAAAAAUCUUUUGUAUAGGAAGAAAAUGACAGUACUAUACGAAUAAGGUCCGGCUAAUUACGUG